rnacentral:rRNA from 1 species
AACGUAGGUACCGAGCGUUAUCCGGAUUUACUGGGCGUAAAGAGCGCGCAGGCGGUCGUUCAAGUCGCGUGUGAAAGCCCCCGGCUCAACUGGGGAGGGUCACGCGAUACUGAUCGACUCGAAGGCAGGAGAGGGUAGUGGAAUUCCCGGUGUAGUGGUGAAAUGCGUAGAUAUCGGGAGGAACACCAGUGGCGAAGGCGACUGCCUGGCCUGUUCUUGACGCUGAGGCGCGAAAGCUAGGGGAGCAAACGGG